CCCACCCCUACAAAGCUUCUAGAAUUGCAGGCCCUCCGACACUCUAUUAAAGCGUUCUCAUUAAAUGAGAUUGCUAGGUCAUUUGGUCGAAACGACUAUUUUAAUGGUCCAUGCUCGCUCAGGUUUUAAACCAAUCACCUCCCUUAAAGAUGAAGGAGGGUCACUAACCAACAACAACACUUUCAUAGUUUUUUACAACGACU